rnacentral:rRNA from 1 species
UUGACCUCGGAUCAGGUAGGAGUUA